UCUAAGUACAGGGCUUGGCGCCAUGGGAGACCCACGCGCGGGGCAUCAAGAGAGUAGAAAGCCAUCUCAGCGCACACUCAGGGGUGCUUUGCUCCCCAGGGGGUCCUAGCCAGCAAGUACCCACUGUCCUAAGUGCUGCCAAGUCAAGACGGUGUUUGAGCAGAGAGGCAAGCAAGACGCAGCCAAGUGGAGCAGGUGAGCGGGCCGCCAGCUUCCAAUGAGACAUAAGUGAAAAACAGCCUUCAGUUUCACUUCAGUGGCCUCCUUGAACUGAGAGGCAUCCGACUGUCAGGCAAGGUGAUGAAAACCCUCGGUAGACACUCCAGAUCUUAGUUCUGGUCAUUAAGUCUCAAGGGUAAUCCAGCCCCAGCUUUCUUAUUCCUAAAUUUGUUCUUUUUGCUCGAAGAGAU